rnacentral:lncRNA from 1 species
AAAAGAUGAAGAUGAGGAAGAGUUUUACAGUUUCUGGAUCAGUUUCAGAGUUACACAAGUGACACUUAAAACCACACGAUAUGUGACCCUGCAGCACAAAACCGGUCAGUUUUUUAAAACUGAGAUUUAUACAUAAUAUGAGAGCUAAAUAAAUAGGUUUUAGUUAAUUGUUAGUAGAGCUUAGAUUCUCUGCCCGAGCUCGAGCCCGGACUGUCGGGCCGAUAUUUCCCGCCACCGUCCUCGGGCCGGGUCGGGUUGGGCCCUUGAUAAAGCACGUCAUGUGUCAUGCGCAGCGUCUCGUCCACUCGCACUCGCAGUCUAGCACGCGUGACGCAUCAAAGAAAAAAAAUUAAAACAGGAGAAUUAACUUUGAGCAAGUUUGGAGGAAAAUCGGAGGUAUGGAAACAUUUUAAACUAGUCGUGGGGAGUGACAACAUAUGUGUUGGCUUUGUCUCGUGCAUAAAAUGCGGCACGCUGCUUGCCUAUGACAGCAAAAAAAAAAAAAAAACCGGUCUUAGGCCAUCUUUUUCUGUGUUCAUCAUUGUUCACUGUUUAUCUUUUUAUUUUUAUUUUUUACGUUUCUUCAUUCGGAAUUUCAGAUCCAUUUACGAUCCAUUCAGUUAUAUCUGAAUAAACAAACAACGCAGUUUACAUGCUUCUUCCUUGUCGUAUUAUUCAUUAAGAUCAUAAUUAAAAAAAUGCACGCACCAUUAUGAACUUGAUAAAUGUUACAGAUAUGUUACUAUGCACAAACAAAUGCCUUUCAACUUACAUGUGCAAAAUUCAGAAUUAAAUGAAUGUGCUGCAAUUUGUACAAAAAGAGUCUGUAGUAGCAUACGUGUUUUAGCCAUUAAAUAAGCACAUUUAGUUUCAAGUUUAAGUUUUGUUUUGAAGAAAGAUUUUCUUUAAGGUGAAUUUCGUUUAGUAUAAAUUGUAUCUUAAUUUUAAUACAUUUUUCAUCAACCAAUUGCCUGGAUUUAAUACAUAAAAAGCAAUAUAGCAGACAAUAUAAUAAUGACAUGGAGGCGCCGGCGCGCCACGGUCACACAUACACAUUUAAAACUCACCGAAUUUACAAAUGCACAUCUUGCUUGUUGCUCACACACAUAUUAUGUUGAAAUAACAAUAUGUUGAAGUAACAUUAUUAAUAAUAAUUAAUCUUUAAGAAUAUUUGAUUGAAUGCUGAAUGUUGUGCUUGUUCAAUUUAAUAAAAUUAAAACUUUAAUUAUGAUAAUUAAAAUAACUGAAUAUUUAAUAUUGAGUGGCCAAUUUGUGCUCAUUUAUUAAUAGUAUUUAUAGAAAAUAUAUACUAUAACUGCGCAGCUCCCCCCUGUAGCCAUAAAUGAUCUAGCACAGGAGCACCUGCGUUAAUAAAACAACUGGCGCCGCCCCUGGUUAUAACGGCUCACAUAUUAAAAAUGGUCGGGUUUAUAUCGGGCUCGGGCUCAUAAUUACAGUGAACGUGUCUGGCCGGGCCGGGCUCGGACACAACGUGCUCGGGCUCGGGUUCGGGUUUGAUUUGUUGGGCCCGAUCUAAGCUCUAAUUGUUAGGAGGACAAUGUUUGUCUGAGAUAUUCAACUAUAUGAAAAUCUAUAGUUUUCAUAUAGGGUGCAAAAAUCUAAAUAUUGAGAAAAUCAUCUUUAAAGUUGUUCAAAUUAAGUUCUUAGCAAUGCAUAUUACUAAUCAAAAAUUAAGUUUUGAUUUAUUUACGGUAGGAAAUUUACUAAAUAUCUUCAUGGAACAUGAUCUUUAAUUAAUAUCCUAAUGAUUUUUGGUAUAAAAGAGAAAUGUAUAAUUUUGAGCCAUACAAUGUAUUGUUGUCUAUUGCUACAAAUAUACCUGUGCUACUUAUGACUGCUUUUGUGCUGCAGGGACACAUGUCAGAUCGUCACUUCAGAGCAGAGUCGCGAAUCAUUUGAUUUAGAUCGUAACCUCAGAGCCGAUUCGCGAUUCAUAUGAUUUAGAUAAUCACUUCAGAGCGCAUUCGCGAAUCAUUUGAUUUAGAUCGCAACCUCAGAGCCGAUUCGCGAAUCAUUUGAUUUAGAUCGUCACUUCAGAGCCGAUUCGCGAUUCAUAUGAUUUAGAUAAUCACUUCAGAGCCGAUUCGCGAUUCAUAUGAUUUAGAUAAUCACUUCAGAGCCGAUUCGCGAUUCAUAUGAUUUAGAUAAUCACUUCAGAGCCGAUUCGCGAUUCAUAUGAUUUAGAUAAUCACUUCAGAGCCGAUUCGCGAUUCAUAUGAUUUAGAUAAUCACUUCA